AACCCGGGUGCUUGCAGGCGUGCAUGCUAUAACAUGCAAGUCGUAACAGGGUAACGCUAUCUUGCUACUUAACCUAGGCGGCGGACGGGUGAGUAAUGCUUAGGAAUCUGCCUAUUAGUGGGGGACAACAUCUCGAAAGGGAUGCUAAUACCGCAUACGUCCUACGGGAGAAAGCAGGGGACCUUCGGGCCUUGCGCUAAUAGAUGAGCCUAAGUCGGAUUAGCUAGUUGGUGGGGUAAAGGCCUACCAAGGCGACGAUCUGUAGCGGGUCUGAGAGGAUGAUCCGCCACACUGGGACUGAGACACGGCCCAGACUCCUACGGGAGGCAGCAGUGGGGAAUAUUGGACAAUGGGGGGAACCCUGAUCCAGCCAUGCCGCGUGUGUGAAGAAGGCCUUUUGGUUGUAAAGCACUUUAAGCGAGGAGGAGGCUACCGAGAUUAAUACUCUUGGAUAGUGGACGUUACUCGCAGAAUAAGCACCGGCUAACUCUGUGCCAGCAGCCGCGGUAAUACAGAGGGUGCAAGCGUUAAUCGGAUUUACUGGGCGUAAAGCGCGCGUAGGUGGCCAAUUAAGUCAAAUGUGAAAUCCCCGAGCUUAACUUGGGAAUUGCAUUCGAUACUGGUUGGCUAGAGUAUGGGAGAGGAUGGUAGAAUUCCAGGUGUAGCGGUGAAAUGCGUAGAGAUCUGGAGGAAUACCGAUGGCGAAGGCAGCCAUCUGGCCUAAUACUGACACUGAGGUGCGAAAGCAUGGGGAGCAAACAGGAUUAGAUACCCUGGUAGUCCAUGCCGUAAACGAUGUCUACUAGCCGUUGGGGCCUUUGAGGCUUUAGUGGCGCAGCUAACGCGAUAAGUAGACCGCCUGGGGAGUACGGUCGCAAGACUAAAACUCAAAUGAAUUGACGGGGGCCCGCACAAGCGGUGGAGCAUGUGGUUUAAUUCGAUGCAACGCGAAAAACCUUACCUGGUCUUGACAUACAGAGAACUUUCCAGAGAUGGAUUGGUGCCUUCGGGAACUCUGAUACAGGUGCUGCAUGGCUGUCCUCACCUCGUGUCGUGAAAUGUUGGGUUAAGUCCCGCAACGAGCGCACCCUUUUUCCUUUUUUGCCCGCGGGUUAAGCCGGGAACUUUAGGAACCUGCCAGUGACAAACUGGAGGAAGGCGGGAAGAAGUCAAGUUACUAGGCCCUUAAAACAGGGGCAACCCGGGCCAAAAGGGCCGGA
rnacentral:rRNA from 1 species